AUUAAAAAAUAAAUAAAUAAAUACACAGAGUACAGUACGUAGAGUAACAGAAGGAGUUCGGGGAAUAACCGCCUCACGCUCACGCUGUAACGUAUAAAACAGAGAGAUGUGUCCACCGUCUUUCGUCUGUCUAUUGUUUCUCUCCGAAGAAAUAACUUUAACCAUGGCGGAGGACAAGAAGAAGAAGAUACGCAAAGAAGGGGAAGCAAUGCCAACCUGGAAACUCCAUGAGGAUCUCAUAGCUGAAAUACUUUCAAGGCUUCCGGUGAAGUCUCUUCUAAGAUUCAGAUGCUUGCGAACAACAACCGGCGGUUGAACUCGAUCAUCCGUGCAAAUCUUCCUGGUACGGAACCCAAAAUUUGGGCUAUUGCAACGGCUUACUACGUAUAUCCAACACUGAGAAGAACAUAUACCUAUGGAAUCCUUCUACUACAAGAAGGCAUCGAAGCUCCCCAUUGCACCUACAGAAGUUCCUGUCGGAUUUUGCUAUGGCCGUUUCAUUGUCUAUGGAUUCGGUUAUGAUCCCAUCACCGAUGAUUAAAAACUGGGUUGAUAUUGAAAGUGGAAUGUUGGCGAUGAACUAAUUGAGAUUUGGAAAACAAAUGGCAAGGUACGGGCUUACAAAGUAUACUCUAUGUAUUCCUUCUUUUGCAUUACAUAAUCUAUCGAUUGUACUCAUGGAGGGCCGAUCUUUUAUGGCUACCUAUUCUUAUUCUCUUUUUUAUUUUAUUUAUUUUAUUUUAUUCUAUUUUCUUGUUAAACAUCACUGCUAAAAUGUUACAUGCCUCAUUGUUGAAUAUUUCCUGAGAGUUCUUGUUGAA